rnacentral:rRNA from 1 species
GGGAAGGUAAAUCCGCCCAGGGUUAGCCGGUACCUUAGUCGAGGCCGAAAGGCGUAGACGAUGGAUAGAAGGUCAAUAUUCCUUCGCCACAUGGGUACUUCGAUGCGGGGACGGCGUCCAGAAAGUGAGCGGUACGAAUAGAAAUGUCCGUAGCGAAAACUGAGGUGUUGGGGGAUAAAUGACCUGACAUAAGCCAAGGUUGAGCUCGAGAGCAUCCAAGUUCUCGAAGUCAUUGGAAGGACGUCCAAGAAAAGCCGCUAAGUUAUGUGCCCUGUGACCGUACUAAAACUGACACAGGUAGGCGAGAUGAGAAUUCUAAGGCGCUCGGGAGAACGGUGGUUAAGGAACUCUGCAAAAUGGCCCCGUAAGUUCGCGAUAAGGGGCGCCUCCGACGGUUCACGCUGUUGGAGGCCACAGAAAAUCGGCUCUAACGACUGUUUAUCAAAAACACAG